GGGGUCUCAGGUAGGGUGAGGAGGGUUCCUCCCUCACAGAUGGAGCUGCCCUGAAGGAAUGGGAGGGUGCAUGAGUGGGAAGGUGGGCUCUAUUCUAGGUUGAAGGAACUUGCCUGAGUCAAGAAGCUGCCUGGGCAAUGGAAUGGGACUUUGGAGGAAGUCACUGGGGUGAAGGUGGGGCGGGACUCUCCAGUAGACAUGAAAUUUCAUGGACGUUGAUGUUGCGAGGGGCACAGUAUUGGGCAGAAACCAAACACUGACCCGAUUCCUCCCCCAGGAGGUGGACGUGGGUUUGGCUGCCGAUGUAGGAACACUGCAGCGCCUGCCCAGGGUCAUCGGGAACCAGAGCCUGGUCAACGAGCUGGCCUUCACCGCCCGCAAGA
rnacentral:lncRNA from 1 species